GACGAACGCUGGCGGCGUGCUUAACACAUGCAAGUCGAACGGAAAGGCCCUGCUUUUGUGGGGUGCUCGAGUGGCGAACGGGUGAGUAACACGUGAGUAACCUGCCCUUGACUUUGGGAUAACUUCAGGAAACUGGGGCUAAUACCGGAUAGGAGCUCCUGCUGCAUGGUGGGGGUUGGAAAGUUUCGGCGGUUGGGGAUGGACUCGCGGCUUAUCAGCUUGUUGGUGGGGUAGUGGCUUACCAAGGCUUUGACGGGUAGCCGGCCUGAGAGGGUGACCGGCCACAUUGGGACUGAGAUACGGCCCAGACUCCUACGGGAGGCAACAGUGGGGAAUAUUGCACAAUGGGCGGAAGCCUGAUGCAGCAACGCCGCGUGCGGGAUGACGGCCUUCGGGUUGUAAACCGCUUUCGACUGUGACGAAGCGUGAGUGACGGUAAUGGGUAAAGAAGCACCGGCUAACUACGUG
rnacentral:rRNA from 1 species